rnacentral:rRNA from 1 species
AAGACAUGCUAGUCGUGCGCUUCAGCCAAAACGAGGCGCGGCAUACAGCUCAGUAACACGUGGCUAAUCUGCCCUUGGGACGAGAACAACCCCGGGAAACUGGGGCUAAUUCUCGAUAGGUGAAGAACUCUGGAAUGAGUCUUCGCUUAAAAAGCUUCACGUUAUGCUCGUGAGGUCGCCCAAGGAUGAGGCCGCGACCGAUCAGGUUGUUGGUGAGGUAAUGGCUCACCAAGCCUUUUACCGGUGCGGGCCGUGAGAGCGGGAGCCCGGAGAUGGAUUCUGAGACACGAAUCCAGGCCCUACGGGGUGCAGCAGGCGCGAAAACUUUACAAUGCCGGCAACGGCGAUAAGGGGACCUCGAGUGCCAGGUUACAAAUCUGGCUGUCGUGAUGCCUAAAAAGCAUUGCAUAGCAAGGGCCGGGCAAGACCGGUGCCAGCCGCCGCGGUAACACCGGCGGCUCGAGUGGUAACCGUUAUUAUUGGGUCUAAAGGGUCUGUAGCCGGCCGGAUAAGUCUCUUGAGAAAUCCAGCAGCUCAACUGUUGGGCUUUCAGGAGAUACUGUCUGGCUCGAGGCCGGGAGAGGUGAGAGGUACUUCAGGGGUAGGGGUGAAAUCUUGUAAUCCUUGAAGGACCACCAGUGGCGAAGGCGUCUCACCAGAACGGACCUGACGGCAAGGGACGAAAGCUAGGGGCACGAACCGGAUUAGAUACCCGGGUAGUCCUAGCCGUAAACGAUACUCGCUAGGUGUCGGCCACGGUGCGACCGUUGUCGGUGCCGUAGGGAAGCCGUGAAGCGAGCCACCUGGGAAGUACGGCCGCAAGGCUGAAACUUAAAGGAAUUGGC